UCAAAGGCCUUUUUGAAGGCCACAACUACUGAGCCGCUUACGAUAU
rfam:Echinostoma caproni strain Egypt genome assembly, scaffold: ECPE_scaffold0007594